rnacentral:rRNA from 1 species
GUGGGGAAUUUUGCGCAAUGGGGGCAACCCUGACGCAGCAAUACCGCGUGAGUGAAGAAGGCCUUUGGGUCGUAAAGCUCUUUUCUUGGGGAAGAUAGUGACGGUACCCAAGGAAUAAGCACCGGCUAACUCCGUGCCAGCAGCCGCGGUAAUACGGAGGGUGCAAGCGUUGUUCGGAAUCACUGGGCGUAAAGGGCGCGUAGGCGGCCUAAUAAGUUAAGGGUGAAAUCCCGGGGCUCAACUCCGGAACUGCUCUUAAAACUGUUAGGCUAGAGAUAGCUAGAGGCGGGUGGAAUUCCUAGUGUAGAGGUGAAAUUCGUAGAUAUUAGGAGGAACACCGGUGGCGAAGGCGGCCCGCUGGGGCUAUUCUGACGCUAAGGCGCGAAAGCGUGGGGAGCAAACGGGAUUAGAAACCCGAGUAGUCC